GGAGGGGCAGGCGGAGAAGUGGGAGUGGCUAGAGCCUUGGAAAUGGCAGAUGAGGGGCCCCAGAGUACAGCUCAGUACAAGCCCCUGGUGAAGAUUCAUUAAGAGUCUUGAAACCUGAAGAUUGCAGAGUACCCCGAGGAGAGAGACUCUUUUGAUUCCUGCUUACCUCCAGACGGAGCUGCCCCCCCCCACCCUUCCUGCUCAGGCCUGUGGUCAUUCUCCAGAGGGCAGCCGCCCAUCCCAGAUAGCCUUGUUUACCAUGACUACUUCUUAGGAAGAUAGAAGGCCCAUGUUUGGAUACUCUGACACUCUUCCUACUGCCAAGAAGGACUCAGAUACUGGACAAGGGGAAGAAGCCAUGCCUACUUUGGGGGCUGGUUCCUCAACCCCUGACCGCUUUGCGGUGUCUGCGGAGGCAGAAGACAAAGUUCGGGAGCAGCAGGCCCGUUUGGAGCGCAUCUUCAGCGUGGGGCUGAGUGUCCUCCCUAAGGACUGCCCUGAGAAUCCUCACAUCUGGCUGCAACUUGAGGGCCCCAAGGAGAACGUCAGUAGAGCGAAGGAGUACCUGAAGGGUCUCUGCAGCCCUGAACUUCAAAAUGAAAUCCACUAUCCCUCCAGACUGCACUGCAUCUUCCUGGGAGCCCAGGGUUUCUUCCUUGACUGUCUGGCUUGGAGCACAUCAGCCCAUCUGGUACCUCAGGCACCUGGUUCACUGAUGAUCAGUGGCCUAACUGAGGCCUUUGUCAUGGCUCAGAGCCGUGUGGAGGAGCUAGUGGGGCGGCUGAGUUGGGACUUUCAGCCAGGACCAUGCCCCAGAGCCUCUCAGAGUGCUGGAGUGCUGAGUGACUUCUCUGCCUUGCUGCAGCCCUGGGAGGAUGUCCACUCAGAGGCCCUGCUGCAGCUGCCCCUGGCUGUUCAGGAGGAGCUUCUGAGUCUAGUGCAGGAGGCAUCCAGUGGGCAGGGGCCACAAGUGUUAACCUCACAGCAGGGGAGAAGCCCAGACCUGCCAAGUACUCAGCAUUGGGGAGUCAGGGCUCUCCAGAGUGGAGGUGGGGAGUCGUUGCGCCCUGGAUCUGUGGGGUGCAGAGAAUCAAAAGGAGCAGAGGGAGGGAGUCAUACUAUUGAGAAGGAUCAAGGGAAACAAGGUGGUUCCAAGGAGAUGGAUUUGUGGUGGAAGGAGCUGCCUAAGGAAGAGGCCUGGGACAGAGAAGUGGCUUUCAGGCCAUAUUCAGCAGGUGGAGGGACAGGGGAAGAUGGGCCCCUGAAAAGAAAGGCCCUGGGAAAAGAGGGGGUACCUCAGGAAAGAGGUGGGUUUAGUGUCCAGGGUGAGUUUUCUGGUGCCCUUGGUCCCUGUCAGAGGACAGCUCAAACCCGGGGAGCUUCCCUUCUUCAGCGGUUGCACAAUGGAAAUGCCUCACCUCCAAGAGUACCUAGCCCUCCACCUGCGCCCGAACCUCCAUGGCCCUGUGGAGACCGGGGAGACCGGGGAGAUAAGCAGCAGGCCGUGGCUCGAGGUCGAGGGUUUCCUGGGAGACGAGGUACUCGUGGGGGCAACUUAGUGACUGGCACACAGCGUUUCCAGGAGGCCCUGAAGGAUCCUUUCACCUUGUGCCUUGCCAAUGUGCCUGGCCAGCCAGACCUCCGCCAUAUUGUCAUUGAUGGCAGCAAUGUGGCCAUGGUCCAUGGGCUCCAGCACUACUUCUCCAGCCGGGGCAUUGCCAUUGCUGUGCAGUACUUCUGGGACCGUGGCCAUCGUGACAUAACUGUCUUUGUGCCUCAAUGGCGCUUCAGUAAGGAUGCCAAGGUUCGAGAGAGUCACUUCCUGCAAAAGCUGUACUCCCUCAGCUUGCUCUCCCUAACUCCCUCACGAGUCAUGGAUGGAAAAAGGAUCUCCUCCUAUGACGACAGGUACUGCUACCCUCCUUGCCCGAGCUUUGAUUAUUUAAGGAGUCCAGUAGGAGGUUGAGGGAGAGAAUCUCCUGACCAUUUGCUUUGUCUCCAAGCCUCAGGAGUGGGGCAGAGAGUUAUUCCUCCAUGUGCUCUUAUGACUGGUUAGGUAAACCUCCCCUGUAGCUGAGGUGGGAUUGACUUAGACAACCAUGUUUGCCCCUUCAUCAUUCCUUCUUCAUUCAUCAACCUGAAUGACAUCUUGUGUUUGUGUAGUGUCUUCCUGUCUAGGAAAUACUGGUUUAUUGGAAAGAUGGGAAAGCUUCUGACACAAAUAGCUGACAGAUGUGUUUUUAUAAGCUAAAUUUCCAAAUGUGUAGAGAAACUCCCCCAACAUUCUGGAGAAACCAGAGUAAACAAUUAAAAGUAAGUAUGAGGAAGAAACACAGCCUGUGAACAAUAGGACUGUACAAAACAGGGUAUGAUAGAAAGAUCAUAGGAUGUAGAAUUUAAAGAUCUGAAUUUGAGCUUCAAGUUCACUUCUCAUUGAUUUCAUCUAUAGGCCCAUACCUUAGUGAAUUAACCUCUUUGGCUCAGGUUCCUCCUCCAUGCAUUUGUCUUCCUUAUGAAUAUCAAAAGAAGAGAAGUAGUGUUCUUGCCUCACUCAAUGAGGUAGGCAAGAGUCCAUCACAUUUCCUUGUAUGGACCAAAUUAUGUGUUGCAUAAAAUAUUAUCUCUGUUUUAAAGCUGUGGACACAAAGGGUAAGAAUGGUGAACUACCCUAACAAAGGAAAAAUAGACCUCAGAACUGCCAGAUAGUUUAAAUCCAGGGCAUAUUCCAGCUGCAGUAUACAUACAUGGUGUGGGGAAAAGGGCAGAUUUGAAAGCUAAUUAACCAAUUUAAAAAUUUUACAACUAUAGGCUCUUUGUCCUUUAGGAUAUUAUUUAGUUUUAAAUAGUUAAUUUCAAACUGCAGUGAUUAUACAUUUUGUCUUUUCAAAACUUAACCAAGUGUGGUGACACUUGUGGCUCAGGAGGCUGAGAUAAGAGGAUUGUGAGUUCAAAGCCAGCCUCAGCAAAAGCAAGGUGCUAAGCAACUCAGUGAGACCCUGUUUCUAAAUAAAAUACAAAAUAGGUCUGGGGGAUGUGGCUCAGUGGUCAGGUGCCCCUAAAUUCUAUCACUGGUACCCCCCUAAAAACAAACAAACAAAAAAAAACUUCUUAUGAAUAAAUACUGUUUUACAAAAGGCAGUCCACUUCCUUCCAGUGGAAUUUUGUUUUAUGCUGAGAUUUCACAGUGAAUCUAAAAUGGGACCUUCUUUCCACACCAGCACUGAAAGAGAAUUGAGACUGAAUUGAGUCAGUUUUAAUGACUUUUAAAGGCAUGUGUUUGUGCAGUUGUGUAGGACCUGAUGGACAGAUAACAAUGUAAAUUGGGAGUUUUUCCUGGUAACAGUGAAUAAGCCCUGUGCUACACAGCAUAGGCUGACAAAUGAACAACAUGCCAUGUAAUGCAAUAAUAGUAAAAUAUGCUUAACUGGAAAAUACCUUUUGUAUACCAUCUGUAUACCUUAUACAUAAAUUUGCUUCCUAGCCAGAAACUCGGAACCAGACAUUGCUCCUGCCUAACCCUGUCAAAUACUAAUUGCCUGCUUAUGUUAGGUACAUGGUCUGCAGAAGGAACAAGAUCUGACUCUUGACUUCAAAGAGCCAAAAGAAACUUAUAAAUCAGAUACUACAGCAACUCAGAGGAAGGGAGCCCUCUCUGACUGGUGUUUUGCAGGAGUGGAGAGUUUGUGAAUUGUUUAUUGAGAAGGAUGUGGAUGGGCUGGAUCUCUUGGUUUCUAAAACUGUUAACAAGACUGCUUUCCACCACAUGAAUCUAUGUGAUGGGAUCAGAAUUGCUAAAGUGAGACACCAGGCAUCAAUAUUUUUUUGGUACUAGGGAUUUUACCCAGGGGUGCUUUACCACUGAAUAAUAUCCCCAGUCCUUUGUAUUUUUUAUUUAGUGAGACAGGGUCUUUGCUAAGUUGCUUAGGGCCUUGCUAAGUUGCUGAGGCUGGCCUCAAACUUGCAAUCCUCCUGCCUCAGCCUCCUGAGUCGCUGGAAUUACAGGUGUGCGCCACCAUGCCUGGCUUACCUUUUUAAAGUUCCCCCGGUGACUGUGUUUAUCAGCAAGGUUUGGGGAACACUUUCCAGUUGGAGGGAAUGGUUUGAGAAACAUGAAGUCAGAGACAGUGCAGGUCAUGUUUAGAGAGCAGGGUGUAAUCUGAUAAUUGAUUUUGACUGGAGUUGAGGGCACAUCAGGGAAUAAUGGGAGAGAGAAGUCUGUGAGGGUGCUGUAGAACUGGAUUCUAGAGGGCUUUAGCUGCCAGGCCUGAGCAUGUGGACUUAGUAGAUGAAGGCAGGUGUGGAAGAGCUCUGUACAGGGAAAGAGCAUGUUUUCUUGCGGGUGGGCAGGCGAACCAGGAAGGUGGUGAAGGAUGAGAGGUAGGUGAAUGGUGAAGAGGCUAUGUGGUAUCUCACCUGUAACAUCUGAAUUACUAAGGUGGUAAGGAAGGAAGGGGGCUUCCAGAGUGGAGGGCUUUUCUGAGGAUGAACAUAGUGGAUUUUUAAGUGAUUGGUUGGGUAGGAUGGAAGACAGAGUCAGUACCAGAUCUGUCUCUUACAAAUGAGGCACAAAAUGUUGGGUGAAGGGUUGUGACUAGUGGAUGGGAUGCUGUUGGGGGACCACCUAGGAUUCAUCUUUAUUUCUGCUCUAACCUAUGACACCCGUAUCCAGUAAGUCACCUGUAGCGGUCAGUGUGAGGUAGGGACGUCAUUUCUCUAUCCCCAGAAGUAAGUCACAGGGAUUGGUAAUACUCUGGGCCUUGAAGACUCCUGGAAUAUUGCCAUGGUUUUUGAGACAGGUUCAUGGUGAAGCUGGCAGAAGAGACCAACGGGAUCAUUGUCUCCAAUGACCAGUUCCGGGACUUGGCAGAGGAGUCUGACAAGUGGAUGGCAAUCAUCAGAGAGCGCUUGCUGCCUUUCACCUUUGUGGGAAACCACUUCAUGGUUCC